rnacentral:rRNA from 1 species
GACGAACGCUGGCGGCGUGCCUAAUACAUGCAAGUAGAACGCUGAAGGAGGAGCUUGCUCUUCUGGUGGAUUUCCAACGGGUUAAGAACGCGGAGGUUACCUGCCUGGUAGCGGGGGGUUACUAUUGGGAACGGUAGCUAAUAACCCCUUAAAAUAGAUUGUUGAUUACCUUUUAUUAAAAAGUUCCAUUUCAUCACCAACAGAUUGACCUGCGUUGUAUUAGCUAGGUGGUGGGGUAACGGCUCACCAAGGCGACGAUACAUAGCCGACCUGAGAGGGUGAUCGGCCACACUGGGACUGAGACACGGCCCAGACUCCUACGGGAGGCAGCAGUAGGGAAUCUUCGGCAAUGGACGGAAGUCUGACCGAGCAACGCCGCGUGAGUGAAGAAGGUUUUCGGAUCGUAAAGCUCUGUUGUAAGAGAAGAACGAGUGUGAGAGUGGAAAGUUCACACUGUGACGGUAUCUUACCAGAAAGGGACGGCUAACUACGUG